rnacentral:pre_miRNA from 1 species
UUUAUACUCCCUCCGUUCCAAAUUACUCGUCGUAGAAAUGAAUGUAUCUAGAACUAAAAUACAUCUAGAUACAUCCAUACCUACGACAAGUAAUUCGGAACGGAGGGAGUAGAUA